UACGUAGGGUGCAAGCGUUGUCCGGAAUUAUUGGGCGUAAAGAGCUCGUAGGCGGUUUGUCGCGUCUGGUGUGAAAAUCCAGGGCUUAACCCUGGACCUGCAUCGGGUACGGGCAGGCUGGAGGCAGGCAGGGGAGAACGGAAUUCCCGGUGUAGCGGUGAAAUGCGCAGAUAUCGGGAGGAACACCGGUGGCGAAGGCGGUUCUCUGGGCCUGUACUGACGCUGAGGAGCGAAAGCGUGGGGAGCGAACAGG
rnacentral:rRNA from 1 species